GAUGAACGCUGGCGGCGUGCCUAAUACAUGCAAGUCGAGCGAACAGAUGAGGAGCUUGCUCCUCUGACGUUAGCGGCGGACGGGUGAGUAACACGUGGAUAACCUACCUAUAAGACUGGGAUAACUUCGGGAAACCGGAGCUAAUACCGGAUAAUAUAUUGAACCGCAUGGUUCAAUAGUGAAAGACGGUUUUGCUGUCACUUAUAGAUGGAUCCGCGCCGCAUUAGCUAGUUGGUAAGGUAACGGCUUACCAAGGCAACGAUGCGUAGCCGACCUGAGAGGGUGAUCGGCCACACUGGAACUGAGACACGGUCCAGACUCCUACGGGAGGCAGCAGUAGGGAAUCUUCCGCAAUGGGCGAAAGCCUGACGGAGCAACGCCGCGUGAGUGAUGAGGGUCUUCGGAUCGUAAAACUCUGUUAUUAGGGAAGAACAAAUGUGUAAGUAACUAUGCACGCCUUGACGGUACCUAAUCAGAAAGCCACGGCUAACUACGUG
rnacentral:rRNA from 1 species